rnacentral:tRNA from 1 species
GACACUUUGGCGGAGUGGUUAACGCGAUGCCCUGCUAUUAAUCCAGUCUAGGCAUUUCCUUCGGGAGCGCAGAUUCGAAUUCUGCAGGUGUCG